GAUGAACGCUGGCGGCGUGCCUAAUACAUGCAAGUCGAGCGAACGGACGAGAAGCUUGCUUCUCUGAUGUUAGCGGCGGACGGGUGAGUAACACGUGGAUAACCUACCUAUAAGACUGGGAUAACUUCGGGAAACCGGAGCUAAUACCGGAUAAUAUUUUGAACCGCAUGGUUCAAAAGUGAAAGACGGUCUUGCUGUCACUUAUAGAUGGAUCCGCGCUGCAUUAGCUAGUUGGUAAGGUAACGGCUUACCAAGGCAACGAUGCAUAGCCGACCUGAGAGGGUGAUCGGCCACACUGGAACUGAGACACGGUCCAGACUCCUACGGGAGGCAGCAGUAGGGAAUCUUCCGCAAUGGGCGAAAGCCUGACGGAGCAACGCCGCGUGAGUGAUGAAGGUCUUCGGAUCGUAAAACUCUGUUAUUAGGGAAGAACAUAUGUGUAAGUAACUGUGCACAUCUUGACGGUACAUAAUCAGAAAGCCACGGCUAACUACGUG
rnacentral:rRNA from 1 species